CGGCAGGGAGGCGCGGCGGCCCCGCGGGCCAGCGCGCGGCAGGGAGACGUGGCGGCCCGGUGGUCCAACUGCCAUGGGCCAGCGCGCAGGAGGGCGCAGCGCGGCGGGCGCACGCGCAGGGAUCAAGACUUUUGUAAUUCAGGGGGAGGAGGACACCUGCAGCUUCGUCUUCCUCUGUCAGUGCCUUCGCUACCGCCUCCGAUUCGCAGAGGUGAUUUGAUCGAUUCAGCUUGGAGUUGCAUUGAGCCAUUGGUUGGGGACGCUGAUUUCAUCUUCUUGAUUGCGAAUCGGGGAUGGAUGUGAAUGUGAUUUGCGGGUUUGUAGGCUAGCCGGGAAGGUCGUCGUCAUCACCGGCGGCGCCAGCGGCAUCGGCAGGGCGACGGCGGAGGAGUUUAUUGUCCCAAAUAAUGUGUUCUAAUCAUAUGACGGAGAGGGUGUACAUAUUGUCCCAAAUAAUGUGUUCUGUCAUCUUUUUUAAAUUAUGUCAAAAUUAUUGCUAAAAUUCUGUCAAAACUAUCCUAAAUAUUGUGUUCUGUCAACUUGUACAAAAUUUAUCAACAUUUAGGUCCCAUAUGAAAAAUACGCACGAAUUUAACUUGAAACAUGUCCAAUGUUCAUGCCAAAAUUAUAGUAGGGGUAUAUUUGUCCAUUCACCACAUAUUUAACACCAUUAUAAUGAGGUAACAGAGUAGGGGCAAGC
rnacentral:lncRNA from 1 species